rnacentral:rRNA from 1 species
UGAGGAAUAUUGGUCAAUGGGCGCGAGCCUGAACCAGCCAAGUCGCGUGAGGGAUGACGGCCCUACGGGUUGUAAACCUCUUUUGUCGGGGAGCAAAUUCCGCCACGUGUGGCGGAGUCGAGAGUACCCGAAGAAAAAGCAUCGGCUAACUCCGUGCCAGCAGCCGCGGUAAUACGGAGGAUGCGAGCGUUAUCCGGAUUUAUUGGGUUUAAAGGGUGCGUAGGCGGACUGUCAAGUCAGCGGUAAAAUACGGGGGCUCAACCUCCGCCCGCCGUUGAAACUGACGGUCUUGAGUGGGCGAGAAGUAUGCGGAAUGCGUGGUGUAGCGGUGAAAUGCAUAGAUAUCACGCAGAACUCCGAUUGCGAAGGCAGCAUACCGGCGCCCAACUGACGCUGAAGCACGAAAGCGUGGGUAUCGAACAGG